GAAAUGCGAUAAGUAAUGUGAAUUGCAGAAUUCAGUGAAUCAUCGAAUCUUUGAACGCACCUUGCGCUCCUUGGUAUUCCGAGGAGCAUGCCUGUUUGAGUGUCAUUAAAUUCUCAAUCUCAACAUUCUUGUAAUGUUUGUAGAUUGGAUGUGGGGGUUUAUGUGGGGUCUUGCAAAAGUUCCACUCCCCUAAAAUGUAUUAGCUGGAAUGCCUUUGCAAACCAACUAUCAGUAUGAUAAUUAUCUAUGCUGGAGUUGAUGCGAUAGGGAAUCUGCUUCUCAACCGUCUUUAUAAGACAAUUUGAAACAUUUUGACCUCAAAUCAGGUAGGACUACCCGCUGAACUUAA
rnacentral:misc_RNA from 1 species